GGCAGGACAUGACCAGAAUGCAGGUUACCGAGGAUAUGACCCUUGAGAGGGGAGUCUGGAGGUCUAGAAUCAAGAUUGUAGGCUAGGGGCGCAUAGGUGAUCAGUGUUUUAGUAUGGUAGUUACUGCUUGUUAUUGUUGCAUGCGACUGUAUUUAUGUUGCUUAUGCUUUCAUAAUUAUUUACGUUAUUUUUGCGGGAGUACUUAUGCUUUAUUAUUUUAUUUUGUCUUGCUUGUGUCUCUAAUUUUACCUUUGCUUUCUUAAUGCAGCUUUCCCUUUUUUAUCCUAUACGCCGAGGGUCGAUUGGAAACUGCCUCUCUGCCCUUUCGGGCAGGGGUAAGGCUCGUCUACAUAUUACCCUCCCCAGACCCCACCUGGUGGGAAUAUACUGGGUAGUUGUUGUUGUUGUAGGGGUAAGGCUCGUCUACAUAUUACCCUCCCCAGACCCCACCUGGUGGGAAUAUACUGGGUAGUUGUUGUUAUUUUCUUGAAUAAAUUUCUGGUAUGUGGUGAAUAGUGAAUUUCAUUGAUUUAUAAGGAUUUAUAUUUUGGGAAGCAUCUGCAUUUGUUUUUGGCUAAACUAUGGUGUUGAAGAAUUUCUUUCCAGGAAAAAAUGAAAGAGAGAG
rnacentral:lncRNA from 1 species